ensembl:lncRNA
CAGACCUGCAGUCAGUGACCUCCUCCGGGGCGCCUAUACAUGCAGGUGCCAUCAUUUCCACAGAAGUGCUGAGAAAACAGGCCUCAGAGGUGAUGCAGAGUUCCCUCCUUCUCUGCUCCCAGUAUCUUGAACCCCCCAGGAUCCAGAACCGCAGCACUCAGCAUAAACAGGUGGCUCAUCAGAUUCCCAUCAGCGGCUCAGAGGGAGGCGACUGAACACAUGAAACCACAGCUGAAGAUGUUUUGCGAUGCUGAGUGGAGAUAGGAACCUCAGGCGUGUGGUUUGGUGGGGGCGGGGGUGAGCUUCUUCUCCCAGAUAAGGUGCAGCAGAGAGAGCGCAGCACGUCCUAAGACUGAAGCCUUGUGCUCUUUCAGCACAGCGGCUUCCUUAAAUCUUCACCUCCAUGAACGUUGUGCAGGCAGCUGCUCCUGCCCCGCCUUGUGUUGCUGGAGUCGAAGGAUCGUGCCAUCUCCUUCUUCCUUCCAUGAUUUUCUCCAGGUUGCCUCCUAAAAGCCGAAAACUGCAUGUUAACCACAGCUGCCACCCACAGAUGCAUUCGAAAGCUCGACGCCCCACCAACACCUCACCUUCGUACCCACCGGGUGUUAUCUCCACCCACCACUGCCUCAUGAUACACAAAUACAAACAGCAUGUAAACACAGUCAGUGCAACAAACUAGGAGGCAAAUAUCCGCUUAGAACCCAACAUCAGUGGCCACAGCUAGCCUCAUCUGAAGCUAGCCUAUUUUUAGCCUAGCUGUUUAUUAUACAACAUAAAUACAGCACUUCUACAUGUUACCUUAACGACAAAAAAGAUGAUAUAACGUUAGCGUAACAGCUAACUGUCUUUGAGAGGGUUCUCCCUCCCUUGGAGAUUUUUAGAAAGCAGAUGAAUCCAGAAAUCUUUGAAGGAAUCUAAAGUCUGAUUUCUUCUUCUACAUGUUCAGUUUUUAACAUGUUCAGUGUUUGCUCUAAUUGUUGGUUGCAUCCAUUGAUCAGCACAUUUCUCUGAGUCAUACUCUCAUGUGCUCUGUCACUUCCCACCAUACUUUCCCCCCUUGAUAAAUUCAAAAGUCAAACAGGGUAAAACCCCUGUUGGAGCCACCUUCCACCCAGCCUCACCCAGUCAGUAGUUCCCUGGUCUUGAUUUAAGUUGUGUUUCCUUUUCAUUGUGAUAGUUUCUAUUAUCUUCUGCAUAAAGUUGCAUAGCUUGUGGCUUUGAGGUAAUUUUUGCCUCUUGACAGGAGAGUAGGCACCCAAACAAAGGUGUCAUGUUAACUGCAGGUCACCCCAGUGACAGCCAUCCUCUCCUUCUCCACCGCUGGUGGAUGUGAGCGGAUGUCAGAAACGUGACUCACAGUUUGAACAAGCCCUGAUAAAAUAAAGUUUGUUGUUGUGGGAUGGAAAAAUGAUGAAAGAUUUUGAUCAAAUCAAACUACCAACAGACUGCAUGUUUUCCUGUUGGAGGCCGCGCUCGCACCACUGCCCUGGGAGGUUGUUUGAAGCUGUGAUGGUUGUCAUGGCUCAGCGAUGGAACAGCUGUGAUUUUCAGUCCAGCGCACUUUUAUUUUGUUGUUAAAUACACAAAACUGUGAAAUACACUGAGUCUGAAGUGUUAGUACAGUCAGAGAUCAGAUCC